rnacentral:rRNA from 1 species
UAUCCCAAAUGUACUGUGAAGUAGACCCGAAACCGGGUGACCUAACCAUGGCCAGGCUGAAGCGUCGGUAAAACGGCGUGGAGGGCCGCACCAGGGUCAGCUGCAAAUGGCUUGGAUGAGCUGUGGUUAGCGGAGAAAUUCCAAUCGAACCCGGAGAUAGCUGGUUCUCCUCGAAAUAGCUUUAGGGCUAGCGUCAUGAACUACUCCUCGGAGGUAGAGCACUGAAUGGGUUGCGGGCCUUUUUAAGGUACCGCGCUCAACCAAACUCCGAAUGCCGAGGAAGACUACCAUGGCAGUUAGAACGCGGGAGCUAAGUUCCGCGCUCGCAAGGGAAACAGCCCAGACCGUCAGCUAAGGUCCCAAAGUCAUAGCUCAGUGGGAAACGAGGUGAGAUUGCAUAGACAACCAGGAUGUUGGCUUAGAAGCAGCCAUUCAUUUAAAGAGUGCGUAACAGCUCACUGGUCAAUUGUGAUCUUGCGCGGAAAAUAUAACGGGGCUCAAGCUAUGCACCGAAGCUACGGGUUGGCACGUUUACGUGUCAGCGGUAGAGGAGCGUUGAUAGGGCACUGAAGUCGAGCCGUGAGGCUUGGUGGAGCGCUAUCAAGUGAGAAUGCUGGAAUAAGUAACCAUAAGGCAGGUGAGAAUCCUGCCCACCGAAAGAGCAAGGUUUCCUGGGCAACGGUUAUCGUCCCAGGGUUAGUCGGGCCUAAGCCGAGGCGAGUAGCGUAGGCGAUGGACAACAGGUUGAUAUUCCUGUACCGGUGUACAUGUUCCUGAUUACGACGCAGGAUGGAAACGCGAGCGGUUUGCUGGCCAUAUCCGUCUAAGUAGGUAGUUCCGCCAAUUGGCGGAGUGAGACACGAAUGAAACGGACCGUAAGGUCUGAAUUCGCGCGGGCCAAACUGACCAGAAAAGUAAUCAAUUAAUAGUGUGCGCCGCCCGUACCGCAAACCAACACAGGUGCUCAGGUCGAGUAGACCAAGGUGCUCGGGAGAACCCUCGUUAAGGAACUCGGCAAUAUAGCGACCGUAACUUCGGGAUAAGGUCUGCCUCUGCGUUCCACCUAGUGUGGAAGGUAUAAGUAUUGAGUAGAAGUUCUAAGUUUGAAGAAUCUUUUAAAAAAAUCUUCAAUUCUUGAGUAGCUUUAAGCUUAAACGCUUUACACAUUGUGUGGAGCGCGGAGGCCGCAGCGAAAGAGCCCAUGCGACUGUUUAUCAAAAACACAGGUCCGUGCUAACUCGAAAGAGGAUGUAUACGGGCUGACUCCUGCCCGGUGCCGGAAGGUUAAAGGGCGGUGUUCACGCACCAAACUGAAGCCCCGGUGAACGGCGGCCCUAACUAUAAGGGUCCUAAGGUAGCGAAAUUCCUUGUCAGGUAGAGAACUGCCUGAUGUACGUGGUGACAUGUACAAGUGCAAUCUGGCUCAUAACGGUGAAGUCUCAGCAUGUAUGUAUUUUGUUCGUAAAACAAGAUAUAAUAUGAUGGAGGUAAUACCGUGGCAACCCUCUUUUUUAAAGAGGGAGCCGUAACGACUGAUCCGAAAGGAGAGGCUCCGCGACAAACGGGGCAACACGCCAGCUCUUGUUUAAACAGAUCGAUAUCGAUUUAGCUAGUUAUAUCACUGGUUUUGUCGAUGGUGAAGGCUGUUUUUCAGUUUCCUUCACUUAUCGUCCAAAACUGACCCUACCAGUAGAGGUUCGUCCUAGCUUUGCGGUAGCUCAAAAUGAGCGAUCGCGAGCAGUUCUGGAACAACUUCAA